rnacentral:lncRNA from 1 species
GAGAAGGGGGGGUGGUUGGUCUUUGAAUAUUUUCGGGUAUUUGUUUGUGUUUUCGGGUAUUUUUUAGUUUUCACAUACUUCAAAUUUUUUUGGGUCUUAAAUAUCCGGACCCAUUACCAUUGGAAAAUUUUGAAGUACUUAGUUGGGUCUAAAUGUCUAGGACCUAAAAGGUCUAAAUGUCUAGGACAAGAUCUGAACCCGAAAGGAACCAAUCGAACCCGACUUCAAGACCCAAACCCACAUGUCUAAUGUCUCGACCCAAACCCACAUGUCUAAUGUCUCUCUCAUUAUAUUUUGUGUGCAUUUUAUAAGAGUUAUAUUUGUUGAGUUGGUGAAAUUUAAGAUUUACAUGGCAGUUUUUUAGCUAAUUUAUUAGUAUAAAUUUAUAUGGUUUUUAAUGGCUUUUAAAUAAACUUAAAUAAAAUUUUUUUUAUUAUAAAUACUUUUUUACAAAAUAAAUUUAAAAUAUUCAGAGAAAAAGUAUAUCACAUGAAAUGAGGAGUAAUAAUAUAAUUCAGUUUAUUAUAUAGUUAAACUAAUUAAUGAUAUGAGCAAAAAAUAAUUUUGCAUGGAUCAAACAAUAUAUAUGUGAGAUGGCCUGGAAAUCUAUAUAUGUAAAAUGAUAUUUAUGAUUA